GACGAACGCUGGCGGCGUGCCUAAUACAUGCAAGUCGAGCGCAGGAAACUGACGGAACUCUUCGGAGGGAAGGCAGUGGAAUGAGCGGCGGACGGGUGAGUAACACGUAAGGAACCUGCCUCAAGGGUUGGGAUAACUCCGAGAAAUCGGAGCUAAUACCGGAUAGUUCAUCGGACCGCAUGGUCCGUUGAUGAAAGGCGCUUCGGCGUCACCUUGAGAUGGCCUUGCGGUGCAUUAGCUAGUUGGUGGGGUAACGGCCCACCAAGGCGACGAUGCAGGGCCGACCUGAGCGCGUGCUCGGCCCCACUGGUACUGAGGCACGGCCCCGACUCCUACGGGAGGCAGCAGUAGGGAAUCUUCCACAAUGGACGAAAGUCUGAUGGAGCAACGCCUCGUGAGUGAUGAAGGUUUUCGGAUCGUAAAACUCUGUUGUAAGGGAAGAACACGUACGAGAGGAAAUGCUCGUACCUUGACGGUACCUUACGAGAAAGCCACGGCUAACUACGUGCCAGCAGCCGCCGUAACAC
rnacentral:rRNA from 1 species